rnacentral:misc_RNA from 1 species
AUUAUUCUCUCUACAGUUGAGGCCUGAUAAGGAGAACCAUGGAUAUCAGAUCAAUGAAAAAUAUAUGUAACAAGAAUGUUUUCUUAACUCAUUUGCCCACAGAGAUAGAACGCCUGACAGUCCACACUGGGACAGUUAUCUAGGUAAAAUUCAUUCAUCUGCUUAAUUCAAGCUAAAAGCUUCAUUAAAAGAAUUUUAAUAGUUUUAUUAGCCAUUACAAAUUAGACAAAAUAAGAAUUUGCAAUGAGCAUGUAUAAAGCAAAAACUGAAUGCCCCAAUUAGAAAACAGCCAUAUUACAUGAAGCUCUA